rnacentral:rRNA from 1 species
GUUUGAUCAUGGUUCAGGAUGAACGACUAGCGGCAGGCUUAAUACAUGCAAGUCGGAACGCCCAGCAAAUGGGAGGGGCGCACGGGUGCGUAACGCGUAUGUAACUUACCUUAUUGAGGGGGAUAGCCGGGAGAAAUUCGGAUUAAUACCGCAUAAGAUGGAAGACUGGCAUCAGUUUUUCAUGAAAGAUUUAUUGCGGAUAAGAUGGACAUGCGUCUGAUUAGUUAGUUGGUGAGGUAACGGCUCACCAAGACGAUGAUCAGUAGGGGUUCUGAGAGGAAGGUCCCCCACACUGGCACUGAGAUACGGGCCAGACUCCUACGGGAGGCAGCAGUAGGGAAUAUUGGGCAAUGGAGGGAACUCUGACCCAGCCAUGCCGCGUGCAGGACGAAGGAGCUAUGCUCUGUAAACUGCUUUAGCAGGGGAAGAAAAGGCGUCUGCGGACGAGAUUGACGGUACCCUGAGAAUAAGCACCGGCUAACUACGUGCCAGCAGCCGCGGUAAUACGUAGGGUGCAAGCGUUGUCCGGAUUUAUUGGGUUUAAAGGGUGCGUAGGCGGCUUUAUAAGUCAGUGUUUAAAGCACAUAGCUCAACUAUGGAACUGGCAUUGAUACUGUAGAGCUUGAGUAGAAACGGGGCAGGCGGAAUUUAUGGUGUAGCGGUGAAAUGCAUAGAUACCAUAAAGAACACCGAUAGCGAAGGCAGCUUGCCAGGAUCUAACUGACGCUGAGGCACGAAAGCGUGGGGAUCAAACAGGAUUAGAUACCCUGGUAGUCCACGCCGUAAACG